GAUGAACGCUCGCUACAGGCUUAACACAUGCAAGUCGAGGGGAAACGACAUCGAAAGCUUGCUUUUGAUGGGCGUCGACCGGCGCACGGGUGAGCAACGCGUAUCCAACCUGCCCAUCACUUGGGAAUAACCUUGCGAAAGUAAGACUAAUACCCAAUGACAUCCCACGAAGACAUCUGAAUGGGAUUAAAGAUUUAUCGGUGAUGGAUGGGGAUGCGUCUGAUUAGCUUGUUGGCGGGGUAACGGCCCACCAAGGCAACGAUCAGUAGGGGUUCUGAGAGGAAGGUCCCCCACAUUGGAACUGAGACACGGUCCAAACUCCUACGGGAGGCAGCAGUGAGGAAUAUUGGUCAAUGGGCGAGAGCCUGAACCAGCCAAGUAGCGUGCAGGAUGACGGCCCUAUGGGUUGUAAACUGCUUUUAUAAGGGAAUAAAGUGGGUCUCGUGAGACUUUUUGCAUGUACCUUAUGAAUAAGGACCGGCUAAUUCCGUG
rnacentral:rRNA from 1 species